UACGAAGGGGGCUAGCGUUGCUCGGAAUCACUGGGCGUAAAGGGUGCGUAGGCGGGUCUUUAAGUCAGGGGUGAAAUCCUGGAGCUCAACUCCAGAACUGCCUUUGAUACUGAGGAUCUUGAGUUCGGGAGAGGUGAGUGGAACUGCGAGUGUAGAGGUGAAAUUCGUAGAUAUUCGCAAGAACACCAGUGGCGAAGGCGGCUCACUGGCCCGAUACUGACGCUGAGGCACGAAAGCGUGGGAAGCAAGCAGGAUAGAUACCUGUA
rnacentral:rRNA from 1 species